rnacentral:rRNA from 1 species
GACGAACGCUGGCGGCGUGCUUAACACAUGCAAGUCGAACGGAAAGGCCCUGCUUUUGUGGGGUGCUCGAGUGGCGAACGGGUGAGUAACACGUGAGUAACCUGCCCUUGACUUUGGGAUAACUUCAGGAACUGGGGCUAAUACCGGAUAGGAGCCCCUGCUGCAUGGUGGGGGUUGGAAAGUUUCGGCGGUUGGGGAUGGACUCGCGGCUUAUCAGCUUGUUGGUGGGGUAGUGGCUUACCAAGGCUUUGACGGGUAGCCGGCCUGAGAGGGUGACCGGCCACAUUGGGACUGAGAUACGGCCCAGACUCCUACGGGAGGCAGCAGUGGGGAAUAUUGCACAAUGGGCGGAAGCCUGAUGCAGCAACGCCGCGUGCGGGAUGACGGCCUUCGGGUUGUAAACCGCUUUCGCCUGUGACGAAGCGUGAGUGACGGUAAUGGGUAAAGAAGCACCGGCUAACUACGUG